rnacentral:rRNA from 1 species
ACGGAAGGCAGCAGUGGGGGAUAUUGGACAAUGGGGGAAACCCUGAUCCAGCGACGCCGCGUGAGUGAAGAAGUAUUUCGGUAUGUAAAGCUCUAUCAGCAGGGAAGAAAAAAUCAAAAUUGACUGUACCUGACUAAGAAGCACCGGCUAAAUACGUGCCAGCAGCCGCGGUAAUACGUAUGGUGCAAGCGUUAUCCGGAUUUACUGGGUGUAAAGGGAGCGUAGGCGGUAUGCUAAGUCUGAUGUGAAAGCCCGAGGCUCAACCUCGGUACUGCAUUGGAAACUGGUAAGCUAGAGUGUCGGAGGGGUAAGUGGAAUUCCUAGUGUAGCGGUGAAAUGCGUAGAUAUUAGGAGGAACACCAGUGGCGAAGGCGGCUUACUGGACGAUAACUGACGCUGAGGCUCGAAAGCGUGGGGAGCAAACAGGAUUAGAUACCCUGGUA